GAUGAACGCUGGCGGCGUGCCUAAUACAUGCAAGUCGAGCGAACAGACGAGGAGCUUGCUCCUCUGACGUUAGCGGCGGACGGGUGAGUAACACGUGGAUAACCUACCUAUAAGACUGGGAUAACUUCGUGAAACCGGAGCUAAUACCGGAUAAUAUAUUGAACCGCAUGGUUCAAUAGUGAAAGACGGUUUUGCUGUCACUUAUAGAUGGAUCCGCGCCGCAUUAGCUAGUUGGUAAGGUAACGGCUUACCAAGGCAACGAUGCGUAGCCGACCUGAGAGGGUGAUCGGCCACACUGGAACUGAGACACGGUCCAGACUCCUACGGGAGGCAGCAGUAGGGAAUCUUCCGCAAAGGGCGCAAGCCUGACGGAGCAACGCCGCGUGAGUGAUGAAGGUCUUCGGAUCGUAAAACUCUGUUAUUAGGGAAGAACAAAUGUGUAAGUAACUAUGCACGUCUUGACGGUACCUAAUCAGAAAGCCACGGCUAACUACGUG
rnacentral:rRNA from 1 species